CAACUUUGUUCUCCCAGUUCCCCAAGAACAUGACAACCUCCAGAAAGAAAAAAAUCUGCAUUGGUACCCAUCAGAAAUGACAGAAGAAAGAGAACGCAGACGCGGGCGGUCACAGUAUACGCAUGCUGCAGCGAGAACCAGAUCUCAACACCAAACCAAACCCAGCGCACUCUUGUGAGCGGAUCCCCUAAUUCUUCCUUAAUAUCGAGAGUCCCCGAAACCAAGACCCUCACGAUGAAGGCCAGACCGAGGCUUCCUUUCAGAAGUCAGACUUAAAGCAAGAAGAAAUAAAAAUGCUGACAAAUAAAAAUGGCAAGUAAUAGGAUAUAUUGGAGUAUAUGAGGAAGCCAUUUUGUGUAAACCUAAUUCGGCCUGACCUUGUCUUUCCAAAAGGGCCUAACUGAGGCCGUUGAGCAUGCAUUGUAUAUCUGCUUUAGAGAUUCCCUAUGGCAAGAGCGAAGGUCCUUGAGAUAAAGGUGCAACUUCCCUCCCCCUCCCAAUGUUGGC
rnacentral:lncRNA from 1 species